CGCGAAGACCCCGCAAGGGGUUUGUAGCGUGGCAAACGGGUGAGUAACGCGUGGGCGACCUACCUUCGAGCGGGGGAUAACCUUCCGAAAGGAGGGCUAAUACCGCAUGACAUCCCGUGUUUGGAUACACGGAGAUCAAAGCCGGGGAUCGUAAGACCUGGCACUUGAAGAGGGGCCCGCGUCCGAUUAGCUAGUUGGCGAGGUAACGGCUCACCAAGGCUCCGAUCGGUAUCCGGCCUGAGAGGGCGGACGGACACACUGGAACUGAGACACGGUCCAGACUCCUACGGGAGGCAGCAGUGGGGAAUUGUUCGCAAUGGGCGCAAGCCUGACGACGCAACGCCGCGUGGAGGAUGAAGACCUUCGGGUCGUAAACUCCUUUCGACCGAGAUGAAGAGGCGCCGACCUAACACGUCGGCGUCCUGACAGUAUCGAGGGAAGCAGCCCCGGCUAACUCCGUGCCAGCAGCCGCGGUAAUACGGGGGGGGCAAGCGUUGUUCGGAAUUACUGGGCGUAAAGGGUUUGUAGGUGGCCGACUAAGUCAGACGUGAAAUCCCUCAGCUUAACUGGGGAACUGCGUCUGGGACUGGUCGGCUUGAGGGUCGGAGAGGAACGCGGAAUUCCAGGUGUAGCGGUGAAAUGCGUAGAUAUCUGGAGGAACACCGGUGGCGAAGGCGGCGUUCUGGACGGCAUCUGACACUGAGAAACGAAAGCCAGGGGAG
rnacentral:rRNA from 1 species